UACGUAGGGUGCAAGCGUUGCCCGGAUUUAUUGGGCGUAAAGGGUGCGUAGGCGGCGCGGUAAGUCGGGUGUGAAAUCUUGGAGCUUAACUCCGAAACUGCAUUCGAUACUGCCGUGCUUGAGGACUGGAGAGGAGACUGGAAUUUACGGUGUAGCGGUGAAAUGCGUAGAUAUCGUAAGGAAGACCAGUGGCGAAGGCGGGUCUCUGGACAGUUCCUGACGCUGAGGCACGAAGGCCAGGGGAGCAAACGGG
rnacentral:rRNA from 1 species